AGACGCCUUCACCUUUGGGACAGCGCCCGCCAUGUCCGCGCCCCCUCAGGGGCGGCUGGGGCCGGCGUGCAUCCCCCGCUGCGAGCGCUGCCUGCGGUACCUGUAUGAGGUGAAGAGUGCGGAAGUGGCCGCCAGGUGAACCUGAAAAACAGUGGGGGGAAAUACAUCUGCCAAACUUGGAAAAAACUGUCACAGAGAUUAUUGAACACAAGGGUAAAAUAAAAAAAAAAUCCAAACCCCAGAAGAACCUUCUGUCUUACAUUCCUACCUGAAGAAUAUAUGCUGCUCUGGUUUCCAUGGGAUGAAAGGGAUGAAGAAUUCUCCAAGAUACCAAGAAAAGAAAUGUAGAGAAAAGAAAGAAUUAUUUCAAACUCAGUAAAGAAGGGCUUUUAAAAAAGUCAGCUGAAGAAAGCUAUAGGCGAUCAUAAAGUUGUACAGAAAGGCCAUAGUUGAUCUAUGUAUAGGUGUUAUUCCAGGAAGGGGCUAUCCUUGCCCGAGCAACAGAGAUUUGUUUGGGUAAGCUAUUCUUCAAAACUUCUCUUAACAUCAGGUCAUCCAACAAAAGAUACUUCCCUGAAAUGGCAGAUGUCAUUGCUUUUGAUUUUCCUUAAAUAUUAGGCUUGAUUUAUGUGGUGGAACACAAAUCAUAUGGAAACAACCAUUGUUGUUUUUCAUUUACACAAGUGUAGGACAUCUGAAAAUAAGACAUGGGCCAACAUCAGAUCAUUUCAGUAAAGUGAUAAACUAAACCAGUACAUUUCCUGAGAACACUGGCGUGUGU